rnacentral:tRNA from 1 species
GUGGCUCAGUGGUAGAGCGCUUGCCUAGUAUGUGGGAGAUCCCAGGUUCAUUUCCUGGC